AGCGGUUCCGCGCCCUGGUGAACGGGGCCGCGCGGGCCGACGACCGCCGGGCCGCCGAACUGCUGGAGGAGGCGCUGCGGAUCGCUUCUGCGGAGCCGAUG
rnacentral:tRNA from 1 species